UUAUGGCCCUGCCGCGCCCUCCUCUCUCUCCCGAGACGGCUGACAGCGUGGAGAAGGAUCUCGGACCUCUCCUUUCCUUCUCGAGGUGGCUGGUGGCACGGUUGAGGACCCGACGACGUGUACGUGGUCGCUGGCAGAGCGGACGGACUGGAGUGGGGGCGCCGUUGAAGCCUCCUCCUCUCACCGGCACGGGCGCCCUCCUCUCUCUCUCCGUGGCUGUCAUGGGAGCCCCUGCCCCAGUUCCUUCCUGUCAGCUCAGGACCGGAAGCGGGAAGGAGGUAGGUGCCGAUGGGAAUUUUCUGAUGAUUAGAUGAUCUGCUUUGUGAUUUUGGUGCCUAAGAACUGUUUGUUUUUAUGCCUACAAGAACUCAAUCAGUGUAUUUUCAGAUUUCUCAUUUGGUCUGUGUGGGCUAAAUCAAUUUAUUCAGCUUAGCAUGCGGUGCAUCUGGGACUUCUUGCUAGCCUUGAUAUAUUAUCGCUGUUGGGAGUGGUCUGGUGAUUUGAUUUUUUUUGCUGUGAGAUUCCGCAAUUACAUAUUGGAGCGCAUUAUAUAGUAUAGCAUGGACACAAUCGAAUGAUUCAUGGGUAUCAUCUUAAACAAUUAUUUUUCUUAUGACAACGGUUGGCAUUAUGCAUUGCAGAUUUAGGCCUCAAAGACUAAACUGGCUGUUCGAGGUAUCAUCUUAAACUAUGAUUUUUUUUUCUCACUGCACUAUUUAGGUGAUUUGCAACAAAUGGUUGGCAAUAUAUACAGUGGGUUUAUUCCUGUAGAUUUUUCUCACUGCACUAUUCAGCACGUACUCUAGAAAUGUAAUGGUUAAUUUUGAUGAUGAUUGAUGGUUGAUAUUUUUUGUUGCUUUAUCAGGAACUGAACAUUCAAAAUUAGCGUGCAUUUUGAACUAUGCCAUAUCCAGGUGAAUUAUUAGUGUUUUGAGUUUCUAUGCUGGUUUCCAUUUGAUAUGUAUGCUACAAACCAGUGGAGGUUUGGCUGGGCAUCACUCUAACACAUGUUUACUUAUACCGAAGGAACUACAAAUACUUUUAUCAACACUACCGAGUGAACCUGGCUACAUUGCUUCAACAAUGUUUGAUCAAAUGGAUGAAAAAUACUUGUUCUCUUUUGCCAUCUCAAGAUAAUUCUCCCUAUCUCUACAAUAAUAUUUUGUCACCUAUAUCAAGCGAUGCUUUAAUUGGUUUGAAAGUGAACUUCUUUUUUGUACGCCAAUUUCAAACCUCCCAAAGCGGUCCGCGAUGGGAUACCCAUUUGCUUUCCCCAAGUAUGCAACAUUCACCUUUAAUGACUUGGUCAUGUUAAAAGUGUUUUCGGCUGAUCACUUAAGAACUACCCUGUUAAGGCAGUUUGGAUCUAAUGGAAAUCUUGAGCAGCAUGGAUUUGCAAGGAAUCGGCUUUGGACAAUUGAGUUUGGAGAAGAUGAAAAAGCCCAAAGGAAUCGGCUUUGGACAAUUGAGUUUGGAACUACUCUGCUCUUUUCUUAUUUAACAAUAACAGUUUUGAGUUUGGCUUCAGAAUUGCUCUUGAUGCUUUGGGGGAUGUGAGUCUCACGUCUACAAUCAGAAAUACCAACACUGAUGGAAGACCUUUUUCUUAUACAUUUGCAUAUCACACAAACUUCUCUGUUUCUGACAUAAGGUAUGUUUCUUUGUGGCUUCUUUGCUCUCUGUGUUCUUAUUGGCAAUGGACUGCUUCAUUCAUUUACGUUGCUUGGAAAUUAAGAUUUUUUUUUUACCGUUGUGCAUUAUUUUAAUAGUCAUUGUACAUGUAUGAAAAUAUAUUCACUCUACUGGUCCUGGUGAGUUGUUAUAUCUGUAUGGAUGUGAAUCGGUCCAGUGCAAGCAUAUAUUUUUUGCGAGAACAACAAUAUGGAUAUCUUUUUAUUCUUCUCUGAAAUUUUCAUAUUUGUAAUUUCACAAGAUGAUAUUUUAUAGUAGAACUGAUGACCUGAUCAGAAUUUCACUCCAUUCGAGUUUGUUUUAAGAAAACUAUGUUACAGAUUCGUGAGAUAGCUUCCACUUAUAAGGUGGGAUUUUUCAACCAAUUAUGGGUUAUAUGAACAUGUCUUAAUUUUGACAAAGACUCAUUGUGAGUUGCAGUGAUAUGCUGGUAUUCUUUGGUGCAAUGUAGUCUUAGUUUUGACAAAGAAGCAUCUCACCGUAAAUCAUGAGAGAAUGUAGUCGGGAGUGUUUUGUUGAGUAUUCGAUACAACCUUCCAUCCACCUGCCGAGUACAUUCCACCUGAUUUAGCUGUUGAUGUAGCAAGAUAUUCAUUGUUGUGGUUACAUGAGCACCUCGCUUGAUGCAGAGUACAACUGCUUCCAACUGCACGAAGUAGAGCCCAUAAUUGAGCCACUUUCCCUCUGACAGUCACCGCUGGGCAGCCUUGACUCCCCGUGAGGCACUGAGCACACAUCACAGUCAAUGGUGGUGCAGCUAAACAUGGUGCCCAGUGCUCCCUCUACACUGCUAUCACCUGUAGGGAUGAAACCGCAUGCUAGGGGAUCGGGUUCCGGUUGUUGUGUUCUGUAAUUCUUAGUGUUGGAUCCUAAGGACAUGCUGAAUCAGGUGUCAGUUUUGUGUUUCCUGAUGCUUUAUUGGUACAAGGUCUUGGUUAUAUUGCUCCUUAGUUCCGGAAUUUGGUUGUGACAUUGCAUUCCUGCAGAUUUCUUGUGAUAGUUGUGCAUGUGGUUUGUCUGAUUGUGGUGGUCAUUGGGCUGUAGUUAUUCCUGCAGGUUAGUCAGGUUUUUUUUUCUUCCCUGGUACAUGGUUCACAUUAACAGGUUCAGGUAUAACAUUGAUCAACACAUACACUUUUUUUUUUUUGAGAAAAACACAUACACUUUCUACAUCAAGAAACCAUGUUAUUAUCAUCUCCUUUACCAGGUACACAUCUCUGUAUGCAGGUUAUUUAGACAUGGGAGUGAACUGUCAGAUAACACUAACCGAGAUAUGUUAUAUAUUAGUUAAUAUCCUAGUGUUCAAAUGUUUGGUAGUGUCUAUUUCACUUGCACCACUGUCAAACAUUUUCACCUCUUAUGAGCUACCAUGUUUGACCUUCGAUCUCUUGCAAUAUUCAUCUUUUUUUUUCGAUAAAGUUGCAAUAUUCAUCUUACUGCCACCAAGCUUUAUUUUAUAUAUUACAUGUAUUUUACUGUAUAGCUUGCUAGCUUCUUUUUAUUUUCUUUGUAUUAUGUCUUUUCCAGUCGCAGGCUGUUUGCAUGUGUCGUGUCUCUCCAACAUAUGAAUUGAACUACCGCAAAUAAAAACAGUGCCAUCUCAUGCUAAAUUAUGUGUGACAUUCCAAGUGGGGUAUAAAAUCUGAAUAUUGGGGGAUAUAAGCAAAAGAUUUAUGCAAAUCUAAGCAAGCGGCAGAUAUUAAUACAACUUCCAUAAGUAAUGUAGUACCGACAGGUUUACUGUUCUUAUGAUUGAUGGUCAUCCCAAACUAAAGAAAGGAUUAGAGGUACUUUAAUUACUACCCUCGAGGGCGGCAGCCACAAGCAUCCUUCACUCCGCCGGACGCUGGCACAUCUUUUUUCUCAGUCGGGGCUUCGAAUUUGGAAGAGGGUGCGGACAGUCAAGGGAGCUGCUGCUGUUACAGCAGCACAACAGCACCACAAGAGACAACAUGAGAAUGAGAAGGAAGUGCGGCGCAAGAUUUUAGGGCCCAUUGGUGAGGUGGUUCUUCAGUGGGGGUGAGUCGGUGGCUGUUUACCACAGGUGGCAAUUGUUGGUACUUGGGUUGAUCCUUUAGGUCCAUAUGAUGACGUGUGCAGCCUGCAGGUUGCAGCACCGAGACAUGGAGCACUUGCUACAUGGUGUCACAUACUGACGUCUAAUAUUUUGUCUGCAUGGUUUGCAGAUAGAGACUGAUAUAGAUGAUGACCAGAUCUUAAACUGAGCUGCACACACUCUUCUCUGUAUACCUUGAUUGUCCGCGAGCUGAGCUACGAUGAGCUUUGCUGAACUGCGGGUAUAGAGGAGGAAUGUAGGACCAAACCUGCAGCUAAAAGAAAGAAGCCAUCAUAAAGGGAAUAGACAAAUAAAAGCUACAGCCACAGUUUUAUUACUCCUUCCACAAGUAAUGAAUAUUCUCCUAGAUAUUACCAUGCCACAGUACUUUGUAAUAGCCAAUUAGCAUUGCCAUCGGUCUGUAUUAAAUAUGUACCCAUGCAUAUAAGCUGAUUUUCAGUGGAGUUUGAUGGUAGAUUUUUUUGCUGCCUAAAACUUCGUAUCUAGCUUAGUGAUAUGUUGGCUUAAUGUGACUAAAAAGGAAUAGUGUAGAAUAGGAUCAGUGAACGAUCAUGUGUCCUUUAUUAUUUACGAAUGACCACAACUAACAGGAAUGUAUUCAUAUGUGCUUUUUCACCUAGACCGAAUGAGAAUGGAAUCCUAGCUUCAGAAUAUUUUCAGGGGUAAUUUUGAUUUGCUAUCAGGACAUCCUGAAAUAUAUGUUUCCCUUGUAGCUUAUGGUGAUAGUUAUGCAUUUCAUCAAUUUAGAUAUUCUCAGAUGUUGAAUUUUAUAAGCAGUGCCGUCAUCAACCUUGUGGACUCCACUCACAUGCUUCUUUAUUACUUUGUACUUCUUAUGAGAAAAGUUUGCUGACAAGAGUUUACUUACUCCCAACUAUCCUGCAAGUUAGCUAUGUCAAAUGUUUUCUUAGGCCCUUCUUCCGUAGAGCUAUAUGUAUAUACAUUUACCAGUAUAUUAUACAAAAUAAGGUCUUUGCCUUGGAUGUAGAUUAUAUAGAGCGGACAAGCAGAGAACUCACUUAUAUCCCCAUGCUACUGCGGCACAGAGUGCCAUUUUAGUCAUUUUUUGUUAUAGGUGGUUGAGCAAAGAAAAAGAAAACUGAACCAUUUCCUCCUCCAUUAGCUCAUGUUCUUUGACCACCAACUUACUAGAAUAAUUGAAAUGAGUGACCUAGAUCAAUUAGGGGUAACUGUUGUGCUUUUCCUCAUCUCGAUGGGUUUCUGUUUGCUAAACUGUACCGGUAAUGCAAACAACCUUAAACAAAGGUGCGUCGAAAUAGGCAACGUAGGAAACUUGCGCGUGGUUGAAUCUGGGAAACAGAGAUAGAGAAACUGGAAGAAUUGUAUACGAAUUAUGUUCUCCGCCAUGGUAGAUCACCUGGUAGAGGUUACAUAAAGCGUCUUUGCUUCAGUUUUCCUUCUUAGAAUAACUAUUGUUUACUCAUGCCACUGUUACAGGGGAGAAACUAAGGAAGGCUCGAUACCAUAGAAUCUGGAGUAUAGUACACAUGUACUUCCUCAUAAACCAAUUGAUCAUGGGCGGACAAGUGAUUGUGGAAGGGCCAGUGCACGGAUGGGAUGAUUCGACCGACGACAACAACAUUGCAGAAGGUGAUACUCUGUUCUUGACUUGCACUGUAGAAUCUUCAAUGGAGGUGGCCAUCUUUGGAAGCAAUAUGGCUAUGAGAAAAUCUCGGGCCGCAUUGAGUGCAGUGGUAACUAGGGCUUGCUUUUUCUUAGCACGAUGUAAUCCAUGUUAAAACAUGUGAUAUAUCUAUCCGUGAACUUCUGAACAACAGUAACUCUAUACUGAUGUGUCCAACUAAUUUACAAAUCGUAUUCUAUGAUCAAUUUGCACUCA